UGUGGCCUACGGGAGGCAGUAGUGAGGAAUAUUGGUCAAUGGUCGGGAGACUGAACCAGCCACGCCGCGUGAGGGAUGAAGGUACAGAGUAUCGUAAACCUCUUUUGUCAGGGAACAAAGGCGGGGACGCGUCCCCGGAUGAGUGUACCUGAAGAAAAAGCAUCGGCUAACUCCGUGCCAGCAGCCGCGGUAAUACGGAGGAUGCGAGCGUUAUCCGGAUUUAUUGGGUUUAAAGGGUGCGCAGGCGGUCUGUUAAGUCAGCGGUCAAAGCCCGGGGCUCAACCCCGGCCCACCGUUGAAACUGG
rnacentral:rRNA from 1 species